GCCACGAUAGGAUUCCAGGCUUCCUUGCAAACUGCUUCCGUCCCCCCCACCCCCGCCCCCGCAUUUGUCUUUCCCUCUCUCCCUCCCUUCGCUAAUGAAAUUCCUAUCUAAGAGCUGAGAGAUGCCCCGUGGGAGCGCAGAGAAAAAGCCGGCCUGGGAGCCGGACUGUGGGAAAAGGCACAGGCUGAGAGCGCGCGCGCGCGCGGGCGCCGUGGGCGUGCGGACCCGGCCGCGGGUGGAUUCUUUCUUUUGGGAGCGGAACGCGGCAGUCGAGUCAGGGACACUGACCCCGGGGCAGCGGGGAUGAGGAAACUGAUACUCAGGCAGAUUAAGUAACUCUCCCAGGGCCAUGGUGCAUCAGCAGGGAGCUGGAUCAGAGGUGAAGCAUCUGAAGCUCAAACCGGUGCCCAUAUGAGAUUCGGCGUCAUCGACAGUGGCUUAACCUGAUGCGCUACAACACUCUUUCUCAUCCCUUUUUUUAAAUAAGGAAAGUUUGCUUUGGCUCAAGAGAAUUAGAAGUAUUUCAACAACCUAUAAAUAAGUAACUGGCUGCAGUGAUUAUUUUCCCCCUAAAGAUUUAGAUCCUAGGGCCGGCACUGUGGCGCAGAGGGUAAAGCCCUGGCCUGAAGCGCCAGCAUCCCAUAUGGGUGCCUGUUCCAGUCCUGGCUGCUCUUCUUCCCAUCCAGCUCUCUGCUGUGGCCUAGGAAAGCAGUAGAGGAUGGCCCAAGUCCUUGGGCCCCUGCACCCACGUGGGAGACCUGAAAGAAGCUCCUGGCUCCUGGCUUCGGAUCAGCGCAGCUCUGGCCGUUGCAGCCAUUUGGGGAGUGAAGCAGCAGACAGAAGACCUCUCUCUGUCUCUACCUCUCUCUGUAACUCUUUCAAAUAAAUAAAAAUAAAUCUUAAAAAAAAAAAAAGAGUGCCUGGGUUUGAGUCUCAGCUCUGAUUCUGGUUCCAGCUUCCUGCUGGUAGGCACCUUAGAGGCAACAGAAAAUGGCUGUAGAACUUGGGUCCCCGCCACCGACUUAGGAGACCCAGGUCCGGGUUCCUGGCUUAAGCCUGACUCAGGUCUGGAUACUGCAGGCAUUUGCGAAGUGAACCAGUAGAUCAGAGAUAAAUAAUUUUUAAAGGAUUUAUUUAUUUAUUUUGAAAGAGUAACAGAGAGGGAGGGAGAGACAGAUCUUCCAUCUCCUGGUUCACUCUGCAAUGGCCAGCAUUGGGCCAGGCCAAAGCUAAGAGCCAGGAGCUUCAUCUGGGUCUCCCACAUGGGUAGCAGAACCCAAACGCUUGGGCCAUCCUCUUCUGCUUUUCCCAGGCCAUUAGCAGGAAGCUGGUUCAGAAGUAGAGCAGUCGGGACUCGAACUAGUGCCCGUGUGGGGUGCUGGUGCCAUAGCUGGUGGUGGCUUUACUUCCUAUACAACAAUGCCAGCCACUAAAAUAAGUCAGUUUUUUAAAAAGGCUCAUUUGCCCGCUCUGGCUCUUGUCCAUUGUAUUUCAUUGCAAUUCCACCAUCCUAUAUGCUUACAUCCAUCCUGCCUGUGAGUUUCAGCCUCUGCCUGGACUAUGCACACUAGAGAUACAUGCUGAAAGUCUUUCUCGUGCGCUCCUUUUCUCCUGGUGGCCCACAGACUUCAAAUGAACAUGUGCAAAUAUGUACUUCUUUUCCUUCUAUUUGCUGCUCUAGACAUUUUCCUUGCCAUGCACAUGGGGAACUCUUCUCUGCACUGUCACAGGUCCAGAAAAUUAGGAGGAAGAAGGAGGUGAACUAGAGGUUAGGCUCCGCAGGGAAGAACAACAUCCGGGAGAUGGCAGAUGCUCACGCAGGGUUUGCUGAGUUCUUCCAAGAAUGGUGCAAAGAACAGUGUGGAGGCUGGCUUGCUUUAUUUUUUACCAGUGAUGAACAGCUUAUCCCCUCAACAUUUUCCCACCUGCAUCUUAACCACAUUCUUUGCUACCUCCAACAGUGUUGGUGACUCACUUUUUGAAAUUGCAUUUUUUUUUCAGUCCUCUUUGGCUAUUCCUUAAUGUUUUUUCUAUGAUUCUUCUUACUCCCUAAACUGUUGUGCUUUACCCAGGGCGUCAUCACUUGCUCUCUGUAUGCCUUACUAUAUACACAUAACUUUCUUUAGCAGCACAAUGAUUCUUUUUAUACAUGAAUAAGUGACUUUCAUAAAUUAUAUGAGCAAUCAAAUAUCUGAUAAAGGACUUGUAUCUAGAAUAUAAAAGACUUAAAAUUCCAUAUUUCAAAAGACAACCCAAUUUAAAAAUGGGCAAAGUAUGUGAACAGGCAUUUCCACAAAGAGUGUGGGCUUCUGGAUCACAC